CUUUGGCUGCUGGUUUUGCCUCCUCUUGGCCAUUAGCAUGAGAUAAUCUCUGAAGAUAGGAACAGACUUAAACAUGAACUUCAUAACCCAUCCAUGUACUUUGCCAUACCUCAUGUGCAGUCUGGGAAAUCCCACAUUCAGUAAGACAUGGUGGUGAACCAAGGAUCUAAAUCUUCAUGAUUGAAGGACUCUUACACAAGGCAAAGAAGAAGAGCAGAUGGGCACCUGGUCAGAGAGGAAAGUAGCUGCUUCCAUCUGACCUACACGAGGAAGGGCAGACCUCUGGCUGAGGAUUCUAUAUGCAAUAUUAGACAGACCUCCUCCUCACCAUCAUCACUAUAUCACCACCACCACCACCACCAUCAUCAUCAUCAUUCGCUUCAUGCUUGCCCUUCUUAGGGUCUAGUGUCUUCAAAACCCAUCUGUCCAUUUGGCCAUCCUCUUGGAGCACACAUUGAAGCAUUGAACUCUUUGGCAUUGAAGGUGUGACAACAAAAGCCAGAUGUCACUCGUGAUGGUGGAGUUCACGCUCUGGGGCUAAGGACCUGAAACAUUUGUAAGUUGCCUCUAGCUCACAGAAUCUGUGCUUGGGGAAACAUGUUCUGAAACAGUGGGGCAGGAAAUGUCUGAAGAGGACACGAUGUGUCUCCUUAGGUGCCCUGGUUCUCAUCCUUACCCACACUGGCUAGCGCUAGCUUCCCCCUGUGCAAUGUCUCUCAAG
ensembl:lncRNA